rnacentral:rRNA from 1 species
CAGUAGCCGCGGGAACACGGAGGGGGCUAGCGUUGUUCGGAAUUACUGGGCGUAAAGCGCACGUAGGCUGCUUUGUAAGUCAGAGGUGAAAGCCCGGGGCUCAACCCCAGAUGUGCCUUUGAGACUGCAGAGCUAGAAACGCGGAGAGGUGAGUGGAAUUCCGAGUGUAGAGGUGAAAUUCGUAGAUAUUCGGAAGAACACCAGUGGCGGAGGCGGCUCACUGAACGCGUAUUGACGCUGAGGUGCGAAAGCGUGGGGAGCAAACAGGAUUAGAUACCCCGGUAGUCCCUGUCUCUUAUAC